UACGUAGGGGGGCGAGCGUUGUCCGGAUUUAUUGGGCGUAAAGAGCUCGUAGGCGGUUGGGUAAGUCGGGUGUGAAAACUCCAGGCUCAACUUGGAGAUGCCACCCGAUACUGCUCUGACUUGAGUUCGGUAGGGGAGUGGGGAAUUCCUGGUGUAGCGGUGAAAUGCGCAGAUAUCAGGAGGAACACCGGUGGCGAAGGCGCCACUCUGGGCCGAAACUGACGCUGAGGAGCGAAAGCGUGGGUAGCAAACAGG
rnacentral:rRNA from 1 species